rnacentral:tRNA from 1 species
UACACUUUGGUAUAUGAUGUAUACAAAUUUUUGAUAUUUGAGGAAUUAGUUUAAAUCUAAUAAGUGUAA